AGAGAAGCGAUUCAAGUCAGCGUAGCUAGGCCCAUCAAGCCUUUUUGCUUUGGACUAGCUUUGCCAGCGGUCUUGUCCCUUAAAAGGGACUUGACUUGUAAUGUGUCCAGCCUGGCGUGCACAGGCAGCCCCUUCUGGGGGCCAGUGGCAUGGCUGGUGGAAUGGCUUGCAAUCGACCCGUCUUGAAACACGGACCAAGGAGUCUAACAUGUAUGCGAGUAUAAGGGUGGCAAACCCGUAUGCGCAAUGAAAGUGAUUUUCGAUGAUUGAGAAUGGCCUGAUGACCAGACAAGCAAUACAUGUCCCUCGUACGGCCAUUGCCCAAGUUCCGUGGUAGAUCCCACGAACAUGGAGUUGGA
rnacentral:rRNA from 1 species